rnacentral:rRNA from 1 species
UACGUAGGGUGCGAGCGUUGUCCGGAAUUACUGGGCGUAAAGAGUUCGUAGGCGGUUUGUCGCGUCGUUCGUGAAAACUUGGGGCUUACUCCAAGCGUGCGGGCGAUACGGGCAGACUUGAGUACUACAGGGGAGACUGGAAUUCCUGGUGUAGCGGUGAAAUGCGCAGAUAUCAGGAGGAACACCGGUGGCGAAGGCGGGUCUCUGGGCCGAAAUUGACGCUGAGGAGCGAAAGCGUGGGGAGCAAACAGG